UCCGUGUAUCAAUCCUUUAAAAAAGAUAAGCAAAGAAGUACAGAAAAUUGCAUGGGAAAAAAGAGCUGGUGUUAAAAAGACUCACGAUGAAGAGAUUUGUCGCCACUUACUGGACUGACUUAAAGAACCAAAAGGACAAAAAAAGAAGGAAGAUCCACCUGAUCCUGAAGAUCAAGCAGAAGACACCAGGAUUGUUUGGCUAUCUCCUAGAAAAGGAUACGUUUUAUUUUAGCAUUGAAGCAAUGCAAAGUUGUUAACCCUUGAUAAUACUAUUGAUUUCUCAGUA